AAAAAGUCAAACCCUGAAUUUCCGUGUCCAAUUUUAACUGUCCGUUUUAUAUGAAUUUUUUUUAUAAUUCGUAUUUUCAUUGUUGUUAGAUGAUAAAACAUGAUUAAUAUUUUAUGCGUGACUUGUCUUUUUAAUUUUUUCAUAAUUUUUUCAAAUAAGACGGACGGUCAAAUAUUGGAUACGGAAACCAGGGUUUGUCUUUUU
rnacentral:pre_miRNA from 1 species